CUAGCAUACCAGGAACUCUGUUUUCAAAUUAUCAGAUCAAAAGUCAGUGUUUUAUGGGAAGAAGUUGUUGAUAGGUCUAUUACGUGAAAACCUCGGUUUCAAACGGCUUCACCAUCAGGUGCCUCAUUUGUAAACACACACACACCGCUGUUGGAGAGCCAGCCACACAUGCCGUCUGCACAGCCACACUAAGAUGCCUCCACACCCCUCGCCUCCCCGUCUCCUCCUUCUGGGUUUAACGCACCUUCUACGCUUUCCACAGUGCUCGCGUGUUAUUUUGUGAUGAUACAAAAUUGAAGCCCCUCCCCCUGCGUGAACUCUACUCUGAAUUGGAAGAAAAGAAAUGAAAAUGAAAAUGAAAAUGGCUCUUCAAGAGGAGAGGGGCACGUUCUCCUUUAAGUCGUGGACCUCGUCGCAUCAUUUCUACUGGUCGUUUUAACAUUUCAUAGUCAUGACUAUUUAAUGUUUCCACCUCAUAUCAAACUUACAGAACUCGGUUGAACUUGAGGUCACCUUAAUCCUCUCUGGAACAAAGCAAGACUGAGUCCUCCGCACUGUCUCCUCCCAUUUGGUGACGACGAAAGUCGUCUUUGCUCUUUGGAGCAAAGAAGUGCCCGCAGACGGUGGGUGUUGGGUCCCCUCCCCUGCGCUCCACACAAUGCGGGCGCCUCUGGGAAUGAUGGCGGUGCCACCCAGGUUUUAGUCUUUAUGACCUAAAGGGGCGCUUCCCAGACAUGAAGUUGGCAUCUUGGACUUUUUAGGGAAGCACAAGACGUCAAUGCCGCCAUCCCCUGGCUUGGACCUCAGAGGCUGCUCAGAUAGUGAUUAUGCAAGAGGCAGUGAAGAAAACGUUGAGAUUUGAGGUUUGAAAGAACUGGACUCGAGCGCUACCUCGACACUGUCUAGCGGGGAGAUCCUGGAGGGUCCUUAAACUCGCCGUGUCUUGAUCUCUUUGCAGUUACUCCUGCCAUCGCCACGGAAGUUGCCCACGGAAGCAUCUGGAACGUGGUGCCGUGAUGGUGGCUUCCUGUGUGUUACUGCGGGCUGCGGCUGUGUUUCUGUCCCGGUGGGAACGAGGGUGCUCUCACACUCAGGUCUGAGUGACAGCCAAGUCCCCCAUCAGAGAGCACCCUCUGGCUCCCGGGGUCCGGGGGAUGCGGCCGCCGUGAGGAGACAAGGCAUAUGGCCGGGUGACACCGCGGGCAGCCGUUGGCAACCUGGUGACCGGCUCCCCACAUCCGCUCGGGAAGCACAUUCCCUUCCCUCGGGACAGGAAGGGCACUGAGGGCCGACGUGAGAAUACACGUGGGGCAGCAAGCCCCCAGCCAAGAUAAUAAUAUAGGUCAGGGAGUGUUCAGGGUCCCGAUACCUCAGGAGCUGCUGUUACAUCUUGAAAAUAACUUCGACGUGUUUCCUCGACAAACACAAAAGGGGGAAUCGAGGUUGCGUGUGGAUUUUUAACUGGCUUUUCAAUCUUCUUCAUAAGGAGCACGUGUCAAGCACAAUGGUCACGAUUCAGCAGUUCUCACUGGGGCUCUCCGACGGGGGUGAGGGGUGCUGAGUCCUGGCCCCGGCACCGACAUCAACAUGUCAUGACGCUGAGCAGGACAAUUAUCCCCAGCUUCCCUGUCUGUAAACCGAGGGCAUAGGAGGAGUUACGGCUUCUGGCCUCCAGUGUUUAGCUACACGUUAAUGUCUCAGUUCGUAAGAUAACUAGACAUGUACUUAAAAGGUGGAAUCUCCUCACUUUCUUGGGAAGAAGCUCAAAGUUAAUUUCUCCAGCGAUCCGUGACAUCGCCUCUGUGUCCCCGAGCACGGGAGGGGAAUACACUAUAACCUUUCUCUUGAAUGCUAUGCCUUUGUUUUUGGAGCUUGCUUGGGGAAGGCGGGGUUUGUCCGGCCAUGGGGUGACACCACUCAUUACCACCUUUAGUGACCCAUCCCUCAGAUUUCUGCUUCCUGUUCCCAGACCUUUGCUCUACUGGCCAAGAGGUCUUCGUUCCAGAUGGAGCAGAGGGUUCCAUUGAACUGGAUGCUAAGACCGCCUCCCAGCCACUUUGGAGGCCUCAUGCCUGUGAAUCAACAGGCACCGGGGGUUACGGUGUUGGCGGGUGUGGGCUGACUGCAGCGGGGACGUUGGACUGUGAUUCUACAACGGAGCUGAGGGAGAUCACGUGUGGAGCUCGGGAGAUCCCUACAGAGCGUCUGUGUGAAUGUCAGUGGAAAACCACAACAUCCCAUCCCACGCAGGACCACCAAUGGCCCAGACCCUUUGGGAAUGAAGGUUUGGGUCACCCCACCAGGCAGAGAACCGUGACCGACCGAAGUGCUGAAGCGAAGAGAGCUCAGAACAUGUGGCGGACGAAGGGCGCUCUAAAUACCAGGCGUUCCUGACGCACACCCUGAGCCGGCGGAGAAGGAACGGCAGACGUCACGGCAGCCCCCACGGACCGAAACCAGCCCCACCUCAUCAGGCGUUUACCUAAAGGCGUCUCUGGGACCCCCGGUCUGUCCAGUUCCCGAUUGGGCAGGACCAGCACCGCUGAGCACCGUGGACUCGCUUCUUUCCCGACGUCUGCCCCGAGAGGGUUGGGUCUUGGGAAAGAGCACAGACACGGCCCCGAAACACAGCACAGGCACUUGCUGGUUGUGUCGCCCACAAGCUCUCAUUUCCCAGGGUCCGUUUAAGCCAAGCGUCCCCGAGGCUGGAAAUCAUCGCCGCACCUCCCGUCCUCUGCUCCUCCCCAGGCGGCCCCGUGGGUGCCGACAGCACUCUGUCCACGCUUCUCUAGAAGUGUCCCAGCGUGUCUGGGCUGCAACCCAAGCCCCACGCCAGCCCAGAGCGCCCUGGGAGGCCUGAGUGGUCGGGGGUGGAGGGAGGGGAGCCGGUGCGACACAGAGAAGGGUCCCCCCGGCACCGCAGGGCAUGUCCCUCAGGGGCACCUCCAGGCACUUACAGGUGGGGACCUUACAGGCGACCACUGUGGGGAGGGACGUUCUUGUGUGAAACACGGAGCAUCGAUGAUGACAGAGGCUCUCUCUAAACUCGCCCCGGAGGGUGUCCCACAUCUAGGGGUCUGAGCUCAUAGCAGGGCGCGCUGCUCUGUGAAUCCGACACCAGGCAGGGGUCUCUGUCGCCCAGGCCCCUGGGACAACCGGGUCCCCAGCCGCCCCCGAGCCCUGCCCAGGGGCGGGGGUGCACCCCUGGCUGCCCUGCCCUGUCCCCUCCUGACAGGCUGCAAAGGGGAGCGGGCACAGAGAGACAGCCUGUCCCACACUGGAGGGCUACGCCAAUGUGGAAGAUAAAAGUCGCCCAGUGACCAUGCCAAAGUGUCAUGAUGACAAACACAAAAGGGUGAGUGAAUUUUAAGUGAAAACGUCUUAGGCCUCAAACAUGAGCUCUUUGAGUCUCUGAUGUCUCUGAUGGCAAGUGUGAGCACAAGAUUACUGAAUGCCCACAGAUGACCGUCCCCCGCACUGAAGGCGAGCGUAUCCUAAACAGUGGGAACUCAACGUCAUUUAGGUCUUAACUUUCUACACACCAAGUGACACGUACGUGCCAGGUUAUCAACACGACGGUCUUCGAGGUGGUUACCGGCAUUGACCGCAUUCGCAGACGGGCGCCCCCAAGUGAGGGAACACGCGCCCGGCAGCGCUGGGGCUGUGAGUUUGCACGCCUCCUUUCUGCAUUCUGGAACAGCCUUCCUGCUGGGAAGGAGAGUGGACUUUGUUAGCGGCCCAGAGACAGACAAGAGCAGAAGCGAUGUGAGAUAACGAUACUUUCUACAGUCCAAUAGAACCAUUUAAUUGUAUCAGCUCCCCAAGUGUUCUUUGUGCCUUAACAUGCGGUUAUUUGUACGUUUACAUUUUAUAGGGUUUUGGGUAACAUGGGGCUGUUCUCAUGUUGUCUGGAGAGACCUAUGUGAAGGUACAUAAGGGAGACUUAUUACAGGAACUGGCUCAUGGUUACGGAGGCUGAGAAGUCCCACGAUCUGCCCCCUGCAAGCCAGAGACCCGGGGGUGCCAGUGGUGGGUUUCAGUCUGAGCCCCAGCGCCUGAGCACGGGGGGAGCCUGGUGUCAGUCCUGGUCUGAGUCAGGCCAGAGAAUCAGAGCACUGGUGCCCACAGGCCGGAGACGGGGGCGUCUCGGUGGGUUCGCCCCUCCUCUGUGUUUCGUUGUGUGCAGGCCCUCAAAAGGUUGGAUGAGGUCCAUGGGCACAGACGAGACCCUCUUCCUUACGCGGUCAACUUUCUGGAACACACCCUCACAAAGACACCAGGCACUCUACUGGCCACCUGGAUAUCUUUGGCUCAGUCAAGUUGACGCAAAAUUACCCAUCACAAUUCCAUAUUGCCACUUUGUUAACUUUCAUUAUUGGUGAUUAAGAAAACCCUAAAUGAUGAUUUUCAUCCCAGGAGUCCUACGCGGACAGCUGACGGAAUGUCGGAAGCCUCUGCAUCCCCACAGGCCGGCUGUCGGUAGUGGAGGGCAGCCUCCGGGUUAUCCAUCGAGGGCGUGAGGCUCCCUCCGGUUCUGGUGCGAGCCUGCUGUGGCUCCUCAGACAAGUCCCCGCCGUGACCCCAGAUGUCUCAAGUGAUCACGGGCGGUUGGCUCAGACCAUCAAAUCCCCGCCCAGCCUCACCAGGUGAGGACUCUAUCAUAUACUAAUGUGACCCACUUAAAAUUCCUCCUCUAUUCUCAUCAAGAUUGACAAUAACAUCCGGCCGGUGCAUCUAUUCUGUCUGAUGUUUUGAUAUUUGUACAAGACUUCUUCCAGAGUCUCUUGCCCCAAAGCACUGGACGCUGCUUCCCCACUGACUCUGAUCAGCUCGAGGGGUGUCCUUUGAUCCAAGAUGCCCCCUGCUCGUCCCUCGUCCCAGGAAUGCUCGCUGGGCCAGCCAGGCUCUCAGGAACUUCCGCCCUGAGCACACAGGAAGGCUGGCCGUGGGAGGUGGAGGGAAGGGCCGUGGGGUCGUGUGGAGCGGGGGCUGCAGGGCUGCUGCGGGCCGGUGGGGAGAGGAGUGGAAGGGGGAGACGCCGUCGGACGGGGGCCCGGGGGGCCCGAGCGUCCUUCUGUCCCCAGAGCGGGAGCCCAUCACCUGUCUUUACAGACCACCUCUCCCCCCUUCCUGUGAUGCCCGUUGGACGGACGGACUUCACUCCUGCAGGUGAGGCAGCUCCUGACGUGUAAACAGACGUCAGAACCAGGCUCUCGGGACAGCAGGGCCCACGCAGCCCUCGCUCGGGGGCUCUCCCCCUCCGGCCACGGCCAGGUGGCUCUGGGCGCCCACACACCUCCCGGCCCCAUCAGCGAGGGGCCAGGCCUGUCACCCGGCAUGUGCUGGGCGUGCAGGGGCCCGAGGGAACGGGGGCCGGUGGGGGCGGGCCUGGAGGGACACGUUACCCCGGAAGGGCCGAGGGCUGUCUGUGCUGGGUGCCUCUGCUCUCCUCCCGAGCGUGGCCUUGCCGCAAGCCGCCACGGUGAUGGUGGACGUGGUGGUGGGUGUGGCGGCUUCCUCGGCCUCCUACCCAUCCGCGAUUUUCAUCUGUUUUCACGCACUUGACCUCGUCUGCUGUCAGUUCCCACAUAAAUAUGUGCACUCCACGCGUGUUUUGCAAAACCAGCUGCCCUUCAUGGGAAACUUCAUUCCCCUGUUUCUACUUACAAUAAAAAGUAACAAAUAACUCCGUGUUCUGAGGGGCAGCCACCAAAAUGCGUUUUGACCUCUACUCAAAGGCCUCGGACCCUCAUCUGCAGAUAGUAGGGCUCCAGAAAGAGGGAAAGCUUCUGAAUGAAGCGACCGCCUCCUCUGGGAGGUCUGAGGGGCUCGGCAGGAAAUGUCAGCGCCUGGUGCCGUCGGGUCACCAGGGGAGCACGUGCCGUCGCGCGGGCCCUUUGCAAGCAGCGGGGCUCUGUCCAUGCAGGUGGCGGGCGAGGGGUGUGGGCCCUCCCCGCCUGGGGAAUCUGGGCACUGCUGAGGUCAGGGCGCCGAGCCGGGUGACGCUGGUCCCCGCCGCUCGCCAUCCACGUGUCUGCAGAGGAGGUGGGUGGAGGAAUCACCUGCAGGGACAGCGCCAGGCCGCCUCGCCUCCGGGCACCUCGAGCCACCGAAUCCUCGCGGCCACAGUGGCUGAAUAACCCAGGGCCCCGCUGGAGGGCAGAGCCGGAGGGCUUGGGAACCCUUUAAAACAGGCGCAACUCUCAAAACACAGGGCAUUUCACACAUGAAGGUAAUUUGUCCUAACGUAAAAAGUUACGGCUGACUUUAAAUAAAUUACCGUGAUCGCGAGCCUUCUCUUGAGCUCCAAGGAAAAUCUCACCUGAAAAAUCCAGCUUCCCUCUUUAGAAUUCUCCUUGUCUGCACCCUUGCAGGGAAUCGUCUCACGAAGGCAUUCCGUGUGACCCCGCGUGGCCUGUCGCUGGGAGUGGACUCUCGGUCGGCUCAUUAACUUCUGUCUCCCGGCCCUGAUGGAGUCUGGAAAGGCCACGCCCUGCUGAACAAAUUGUAGACGACAGAGGCUAAUUGGUCCUCAGAAAGGAGGCCGAUGGCUGCUCUCGGGAUCUUGGACUUUUAAAAUGUUUAUUUAGCACAAACAUUUGCAGGCCCCACGGAAAGGCUUUUCCCUGAUUCCUCUUGACCUUCAGCGACCUCCCUCCCAGGGCGCAUUGCUUUCUCCCCGGGGGGAAACUUGAGAGGCUCUUAUUUAUUUAUUCCCCGGGAGCCUCUAAGAGUUCACACAAGUCUUAACACUUAACCUGGGCUGGAGUGGCAGCGUCGUCCUGCCAAGCUCCCCUCUUCGCGGGGCUGGUGGGCCGACGGUCGCCAGCCCCGGGUCUGCCGUCACCAGGCGGGGGCGAGACCCUCUCCCAUCCCGACACUCACUGACACGUUGAGCCUCCACGGCAGACGUUAGUUCCUCCCAAGAGGCCCCCGGGGUGAGCACAGUGUGCCCUUUGUCAGCAUACAGGGCCCAGCUCACGCGCGGAUUCCGCAUUUAGGUGCAGCUCCCCAGUUGGCAGGUGUGACCGGUGGGGUGUAAGGUGAGAAUAAAAAUCUCUUAAGAAA